rfam:Triticum aestivum genome assembly, contig: Triticum_aestivum_CS42_TGACv1_scaffold_004072_1AL
AAAAUAGUCCCUCCGUCCGGAAAAACUUGUCCCUCAAAUGGAUGUAUCUAGCACCAAGUUAGUGCUAGAUACAUCCAUUUAAAGAACAAGCUUGAGACAAGUAUUUUUGGACGGAGGAAGUAUAUC